CCUACGGGAGGCAGCAGUGAGGAAUAUUGGUCAAUGGCCGUAGGCCUGAACCAGCCAAGUCGCGUGAGGGAUGACGGUUCUAUGGAUCGUAAACCUCUUUUGUCAGGGAGUAAAGUGUGCGACGUGUCGUGUUUUGUAAGUACCUUAUGAAUAAGGAUCGGCUAACUCCGUGCCAGCAGCCGCGGUAAUACGGAGGAUGUGAGCGUUAUCCGGAUUUAUUGGGUUUAAAGGGUGCGGAGGCGGACUGUCAAGUCAGCGGUAAAAUUUCGGGGCUAAACCCCGUCUUGCCGUUGAAACUGGGGUGCUUGAGUGUGCUAGAAGCAUGCGGAAUGCGUGGUGUAGCGGUGAAAUGCAUAGAUAUCACGCAGAACCCCGAUUGCGAAGGCAGCAUACC
rnacentral:rRNA from 1 species